GAAGGAUAAGAUUCUCCUCGCCUUUACCUCUCCGUCUUCUCCGAUCGAAGAGCAAAGAAACCGAGCACUUCUUACUGUUUUCGUUUCAGCAUCAAAGCAAGCACCAGAGAUCCUUCCAUGCUCUCUAAGAUCUUAACCAGUUCGUUCUCGAUGUUAUCUUAUUAAACAAACGUCUUUCUCUCUGUCUCCCCCUCGAUUCAAUUCAACAGUGUAAUUUAAUUGAUCUCAAUUCAUCUCGCUUACUCCUUAUCAGUUCAGAUUUUUCAACUUCCCCCAUCAAUCGAAGCCACUAUACAUAUGGCGUCAAGGCUGUGUGUUGCAAGGAGACCGUUUUGGGAAGUCUUUUUUUUUUUUGGAGGCUAGGAAUGUGAAGAAGCAGGAGAGCUUAUAGGCGUUGACAUGGUUUUCCUCGAUGAGAAGGUUACUCUCAUUCAACUCCUCUAUUUCAAUUUGUUUAUCAAUUUCGAUUCACUUAAGCAAUGAAAACUAUCAGACUGCUUAGUUUUUUUUUCAGUCGACUUUGGUCCACGGAUUUAUUGGGGCUCAAAGACUCAACUCUUUCUAGACCCAACUGAAUAAAUCAGGUUUCAGAAAUAUGAACAGAGCCACGGCUCUAACUAAUCCUAACACUAUUUCACCGGAUAAUUCUUUAUCAUAUUAGGUGGUCAAUAAUAUUGCAUCUGUAUUCUACAUUUGUUACCAGUAUUUGCUACAUAUAUUUUUGGUGAAGCAUGUGGCAUCAAGAGAACCUACAACGACAAAAAUCAGGCUAUCCAACGUGUAUCCAAGUAGACGGGAGAUGGUCUGAGCCGCAUUGUUCCUAUCUAUGAAGGUUAUGCCCUUCCACAUGCUAUCAUGUGUCUUGAUUUUGAGGGUCUUGACGUCACUCAUGCGUUGAUGAAGAUCUUAACCGAGCGUGGUUAUUAUUUCACCACCACAUCAGAGCGUGAAAUUGUCUCAGAUGUAAAAAUAAGCUUUGCGACAUCGGUCUUGACUACAAGCAAGAGCUUGAGAAAGUCAAAAGUAGCUCAUGUGUUGAGAAGAACUACGAGCUACCUGAUGGGCAAGUGAUCACCAUUGGUUCUGAGCGGUUCGUUGUCUACCACUACCACUAGAGCUGUAAUAGCUGAAGUGGUCCUCGGAAGCGAAAAGACCAGACGGAGACACCGAGGCGGGAAUGACAACCCGAGCACCACCUCGCCGCCUGUGACCUUUGAGAACCAAAUGUCAAGACCAACCUGUGAAGGCCACGCUCCGGUGUCAGUGGAGAGAGGCCGAAAAAACUGAGCGCUUGAGACCAAACCAAGCAAAAAGCGAACGCCUAAGCAAGGAGAGCUAGCAAAGAAGCCGAAGGGAAGGAUCCGAAGCUCUGGAUCGAGAGGCUAGCUUCAAUGGAGUUAUGACAUCUAGAGCGAAGAGAGAGAAUCUGUUUUGUUUGUCUUUUUGACAUAGGGGAGUGGCAAAGGCUUGACCUCCAGCCCUACAAAAUAUGGGGGUGUUAAGAAAAUUGAUCAAAUGGUAGCAGAGCUUAAUGACUUCGUCCUGAAAUCUCCUACUCAGGUACGCCGUUAAUCAAAUAUAAUUGAUCUCCGGAAAUUAUAGGGUGGGUUUACAUCAUUCACAUGGGCUUCCUGCAAUGAGGCCGCAGGUGUACAAGACCCACAGGAUUGUGACCUUCCACAAUGCUUAUAGGAGAUUGUUGGGAGCACUUUAACCUUCCAAUUGAACCUACCUAACUUCAACUUCACUGCAAAACAUCAGAGCUUCACCGUCUCUUGCAUUCUUGACAACAACCAGCGCCCUCCCCAGCAUAAUUUUGAGGUUCAUGGUGGGAAUGACAACCCUGAAGAUAAUAUGCCAGAUGCUGGAGCAAUCAAAGAAACCACAGUAUUGGACUUAAGAGCACACUGUGAAUGAUGGUAAUGUUGAAGGUGGAAGAGGUGAGGCAUCAGAUCCACGUGACAACUCUGUUGAAGGAAGCAGCACAGGAGAGGGGGCACCUGUGGAGGAAGAUUGGGAUUGUGCAGAGAAGACACGAAAUGAGUAAAAACGUUAAAAGAUCAAGGGGUGCUUAAGUUGCAAGACAUGAUGGCUUUUUCUAUGCAUUAGUUUUUAAAUAAGAUUUCCACACACUUACGUCUGAGUACUACAAAAUUUCUGUUAUUUCCAGUUUUUUUUAUUGUAAUUUAUUUCCAGUUUUUUGUUUAGAACAUUUUAGUCAUAUCAGUCUUCUUUUUGCAUUUAAAAAUAUUAAUAUCAUGUUCUCAAA